rnacentral:rRNA from 1 species
AUGGAAGCGAUUGCAUUCAACAGCCAGGCAAUCCGUUUCAACAGCGUGCUAGAAACCGGUAGGACCAAUGAUUUCAAUCGCGUCGGGUUCAACCCCACAGAAAUGCCAGAUGGACAUUUCUGGUACCUAGCCAUGGACUUUGUCACCACACUAAGUUCUACGACCGAGGUUACGAUGUCGGCGCAGCAGAUAACGUCGACAAUUUGCCCACCGUGCUUCCCACAGUUUGGAGAAAUCUUUGAGCUAUGGGACAAAACCAUCACAGAUGUGGUUGCUAUCCUUGCCUAUGUUGGUCAGAUAGAAUUUAAGUGGGAUUCAAUAUAUAGGCGCCGCGUCCCUUCCCUCGAGAUUGGACUCAUGAACUUUCAACAGCAGAUAAUUUUCUUACGUGUACGUGAAGAGCACGUUGGGCCUCACUUCUGGCAUUUGCAAUACACUGACAAUCUGUUCGAGAAGUUUGCUGUAACUUACAUACAGGUAAAUCAGAGGCAGCGUUGCUUGCAAACUAUGAGGGAGAGCACAUUCUUCUUCUCUUCCAAUAUUAUUGAUGAUCAUCAUUAUCUACAAGAUAUCCAUGAAGCCAGCCUGAUGACACUUGAUGAAACACAUGCGUACGUCAAUCGUGUUAUUCAAGGUAGGAACAAUGGACGUCAGAAGUAUCACAGCUGA